rnacentral:lncRNA from 1 species
CAUGCUUCUCUAAGACUCCACCCACCCCACCCCAUCCUGAGAUAAAUACGGUAGGUAUGGAUAAUGGCCUAUCCGAACCAUGGCCAUCCUUAUCAAGAGUUAAAGCCAUUGUGUCUUUAGAGAGCCAAAUAUAUAUAGACCUCCAACCUCGAAUUAUAUCUUUCUUUCACCAACCUUUUGCAUGCCUUAUCACUUAUCACUUG